rnacentral:rRNA from 1 species
UUGGGAAUCUUGCACAAUGGGGGAAACCCUGAUGCAGCGACGCCGCGUGGACGACGAAGGCCCUAGGGUUGUAAAGUCCUUUUGCACGGAAAGACUUAGGACGGUACCGUGCGAAUAAGCUCCGGCUAACUACGUGCCAGCAGCCGCGGUAAGACGUAGGGAGCAAGCGUUGUCCGGAUUUACUGGGCGUAAAGGGCGCGUAGGCGGUCUGUUAAGUGAGAACUGAAAUCUCCAGAGCUCAACUCGGAAACUGGUUUUCAUACUGGCAGGCUAGAGGAACGCAGAGGUGACUGGAAUUCCUGGUGUAGCGGUGAAAUGCGUUGAUAUCAGGAGGAACUCCAAUGGCGAAGGCAGGUCACUGGGCGUUAUCUGACGCUGAGGCGCGAAAGCGUGGGUAGCA